GUAGGCCUAUGUAGAAAAUAAAAAUUUUAAAAUAUUUUUUAGAUUAUAUAUUGGCCAAUUUACAUAAAAAAUUCACUAGUUUUGAGAUUUUGCAAAAGUUGGCCACAUUUUUCUUUUUUAUAGAUUCGGUCUGAAUUUUUUGCCACCGGACGAAAAUGCCCUCGGUCCGCUCCACCCGUACUCCCUCACAUAUGUAUAAAAUACGGUACGGCCUACUACAGCGGGUUACGUCAACUAAUUUUUCAAAAUUCAAACCAAAUCGCGCCACACUAUUCGCCAACCUUGUGAAGACUUCGU
rnacentral:lncRNA from 1 species